GAACUAAAGUGGGUGUGAGUCAGGCAGAGCUCCAGCCACCUGGAGACCUCAGACCACGGGGCUGGCACUGAGCCCUGGCUGCAGGAGGAAUGGACAGGAUUCUGGGAGCGUCAAUUCUGAUUCUCAGCCUUCAGAGGGGAUGGGUGAGCGGCCAAGAGAAGGAUAAAGGUGACCAGCAACAGGUGAAACAAAAUCCUCCGUAUUUGACAGUCCAGGAAGGAGAUACUUCAAUUCUAAACUGCACAUAUGAGAACAGUGCAUUUGACUACUUCCCAUGGUACCGGCAGCUCCCUGGUAAAAGCCUUGAACUUCUGAUAGCCAUACGAUCUGUUCUAAAUGAAAAGGAAGACGGAAGAUUCAAAGUAUUUCUCAAGAAGAGUGACCAAGAGCUCUCUUUGCAUAUCAGGACUUCUCAGCUUGGAGACUCAGCCACCUACUUCUGCGCAGCACAAACACAGUGCUCUCCAGACACCUGCAGCCUGUGCACAAACCUGCCCUCGCUGCUCUAGCAGGA